AGUGAACGCUGGCGGUAGGCCUAACACAUGCAAGUCGAACGGCAGCACAGUAAGAGCUUGCUCUUACGGGUGGCGAGUGGCGGACGGGUGAGGAAUACAUCGGAAUCUACUUUUUCGUGGGGGAUAACGUAGGGACACUUACGCUAAUACCGAAUACGACCUACGGGUGAAAGCAGCGGAGCUUCGGACCCUGCGCGAUUGAAUGAGCCGAUGUCGGAUUAGCUAGUUGGCGGGGUAAAGGCCCACCAAGGCGACGAUCCGUAGCUGGUCUGAGAGGAUGAUCAGCCACACUGGAACUGAGACACGGUCCAGACUCCUACGGGAGGCAGCAGUGGGGAAUAUUGGGCAAUGGGCGCAAGCCUGAUCCAGCAAUACCGCGUGAGUGAAGAAGGCCUUCGGGUUGUAAAGCCCUUUUGUUGGGAAAGAAAAGCAGCAUGUUAAUCCCCCGCUGUUCUGACGGUACCCAAAGAAUAAGCACCGGCUAACUUCGUG
rnacentral:rRNA from 1 species